GAUGAACGCUGGCGGCGUGCUUAACACAUGCAAGUCGAACGAAGAGGCCCCUUCGGGGGUACUUCAGUGGCGGACGGGUGAGUAACACGUGGGCAACCUGCCUAUAAGACUGGGAUAACUUCGGGAAACCGGAGCUAAUACCGGAUAAUUCAUAUCUACUCAUGUAGAUAUGCUGAAAGACGGUUUACGCUGUCACUUAUAGAUGGGCCCGCGGCGCAUUAGCUAGUUGGUGAGGUAAUGGCUCACCAAGGCCACGAUGCGUAGCCGACCUGAGAGGGUGAUCGGCCACACUGGGACUGAGACACGGCCCAGACACCUACGGGUGGCAG
rnacentral:rRNA from 1 species